rnacentral:rRNA from 1 species
AGAGUUUGAUCCUGGCUCAGAAUCAACGCUGGCGGCGUGCCUCAGACAUGCAAGUCGAACGCGAAAGGCCCCUUCGGGGGCCGAGUAGAGUGGCGUCCGGGUGAGUAACACGUGGGUAAUCUACCUCCGGGUGGGGAAUAACAGCCGGAAACGGCUGCUAAUACCGCAUAAUGCAGCGGCACCUAAUGGUGACAGUUGUUAAAGCGGGGGAUCGCAAGACCUCGUGCCUGAAGAGGAGCCCGCGGCGGAUUAGCUAGUUGGUGGGGUAAUGGCUCACCAAGGCUUCGAUCCGUAGCCGGCCUGAGAGGGCGGUCGGCCACACUGACACUGACACACGGGUCAGACUCCUACGGGAGGCAGCAGUCGGGAAUUUUGGGCAAUGGGCGAAAGCCUGACCCAGCAACGCCGCGUGGAGGAUGAAGCCCCUCGGGAUGUAAACUCCGUAAGAAUGGGAAGAAUAAGGGAGGGCUAACACCCCUUCCGAUGACGGUACCAUUCGUAAGCUCCGGCUAACUCCGUGCCAGCAGCCGCGGUAAUACGGGGGGAGCAAGCGUUGUUCGGAUUUACUGGGCGUAAAGGGCGCGUAGGCGGCGCAACAAGUCGCUUGUGAAAUCUCCUGGCUCAACCAGGAGCGGCCAAGCGAUACUGUCGUGCUAGAGUGCGGAAGGGGCAACUGGAAUUCUCGGUGUAGCGGUGAAAUGCGUAGAUAUCGAGAGGAACACCUGCGGCGAAGGCGGGUUGCUGGGCCGACACUGACGCUGAGGCGCGAAAGCCAGGGGAGCGAACGGGAUUAGAUACCCCGGUAGUCCUGGCCUCAAACGAUGGAUGCUUGGUGUCCGGGGUUACAAAGUCCCCGGGUGCCGUCGCUAACGCAUUAAGCAUCCCGCCUGGGGAGUACGGUCGCAAGACUGAAACUCAAAGGAAUUGACGGGGACCCGCACAAGCGGUGGAGCAUGUGGUUUAAUUCGACGCAAACGCGAAGAACCUACCUGGGCUAGAAUGCUCCUGACAGCCCCAGAGAUGGGGUCUCCUGGGUAACACCAGCGGAGUGC